rnacentral:tRNA from 1 species
GGGCCGCUAGCUCAGCUGGCAGAGCAACAGCCUUUUAAGCUGUGGGUCGCCGGUUCGACUCCGGCGCGGCUCA